AUGGAGAGUGUCAGAAAGAGAGAGUGUAAAAGAGAGGGAGGGGUACAGAAAUAGCAUAGAAGGAACAUCAAAGAGGCAAGACAAAAGGGACUUUCUUUAACAUUUUUAGCUUAAGGCUUUGCACUGGAUGCUGCUGUAUGUGAUGCUUUACGAGAGAUAAUAAGAGAUAGAUGGGUAGAGAAGCACAGAGCGAGAUUUGGACAGAGAGGAUGGAAGGGAGGUGGGGGAGAAUGAUUUAAAGGGAAAGAAACGGAGGGAGAUUUAGAUAGAGCCCAGUGAGAGCGAGGGAAGAGAGCCAGCACAGAGCAGCAGAGGAGGUGGAUGGGAGAAGAGGAGAGGCAUUGACUGGAAACGUACACAUGGAAGAGAAGAAAACGCUUAUUUCAUGUGCUCGCUGUGCACGACUGAGAAGUGCGGCUGUCUGUCUGGAUUGUUAGUCAUUUGCUUCCCCCCGGCUAGAGGACAUACGAAGAACACAGGCAGGCUGGGGAAUACGGGGCUGUGUCCAGAGGAUGAACAGGACGAUGUGGGCUCUUGGGCUGUGAUCGCUGUCCUCAGACCCCGUAGCCAAUUGCACUGGAUCUGUUGCAGGCCGUUAGCCUCGCAGUUAGGCAGCAGCGGUCAGAGUGAUUGAUACAGAAUGAGCUCCAAGCACUACUCCGACUGGAUUCCCUACAGCACUAUAGACUGAUGAGCGGGCACCUGACGACCCCGCAGCAGUAGAAUGGUGAG